UNGCAAGCUACUCUCGCGUCCUGGUUUGGC
rnacentral:piRNA from 1 species